GUGGAGCCGGGCUUGUGGUCCGGAGCGUUUCAGAUGGCCCCACUCCGGAGUUGAGCCUCACCGGGGCAGAUGACAGUGCAGAAAGGGCCGAGCGAGUGGGGACUCUUCCCUCCGUCUGUCACAGAUAAAGUUUAGAGAAAGGAGCCGACUUGCCCAGAAUCAGAGACACGUGUAUUAAGGAGCUGGAUGUGGCACAGAAAUGCCUGCUUCUUGGAGGUUACAUUGGCCAGCGCCAGGCCGACAUCUCAGUGCAAGUGGGAGAGUUAGCACUGGCUCUCCAAGGACCAGGGAGAGGGGUCUUCCAUGAAAGUCCGAGCGCGUAUAGACGUUUCUAAGUCCGAACAUCUGAACACUUGUAUAAACGCAAAAUCGUCACC